GCCCGGGUAGCUCAGAGGCAGAGCAGCGCCCUCGUAAUGCGCAGGUCGUGGGUUCGAUUCCCACCUCGGGCU
rnacentral:tRNA from 1 species